rnacentral:rRNA from 1 species
GACGAACGCUGGCGGUGUGCUUAACACAUGCAAGUCGAACGGUAAGGCCCUUUCGGGGGUCCACGAGUGGCGCACGGGUGAGUAACACGUGAGUAACCUGCCCUCAUCUCUGGGAUAACAGUCGGAAACGGUUGCUAAUACUGGAUAUGAGCUUGCAAGGCAUCUUGUGGGUUGGAAAAAUUUUUUUGGUUGGGGAUGGACUCGCGGCCUAUCAGCUUGUUGGUGAGGUAGUGGCUCACCAAGGCUUCGACGGGUAGCCGGCCUGAGAGGGCGACCGGCCACAUUGGGACUGAGAUACGGCCCAAACUCCUACGGGAGGCAGCAGUGGGGAAUAUUGCACAAUGGACGGAAGUCUGAUGCAGCAACGCCGCGUGCGGGAUGACGGCCUUCGGGUUGUAAACCGCUUUCAAUUGUGACGAAGCUUUUUGUGACGGUAGCAGUAGAAGAAGCACCGGCUAACUACGUG